rnacentral:sRNA from 1 species
AGACACAUCCACCACGGACCCACCCGAAC